rnacentral:miRNA from 14 species
CUGCUGGUAUUCUCUGCGAUGAUA